rnacentral:rRNA from 1 species
UACGUAGGGUGCGAGCGUUGUCCGGAAUUAUUGGGCGUAAAGAGCUCGUAGGCGGUGUGUCGCGUCGGCCGUGAAAACCUGGGGCUUAACUCUGGGCGUGCGGUCGAUACGGGCAUCACUAGAGUUCGGCAGGGGAGACUGGAAUUCCUGGUGUAGCGGUGAAAUGCGCAGAUAUCAGGAGGAACACCGGUGGCGAAGGCGGGUCUCUGGGCAUUAACUGACGCUGAGGAGCGAAAGCAUGGGGAGCGAACAGG